rnacentral:rRNA from 1 species
UACAUGGGGUGCAAACGUUGCUCGGAAUUAUUGGGCGUAAAGCGCACGUAGGCGGACCAUCAAGUUGGGGGUGAAAUCCCGGGGCUCAACCCCGGAACUGCCUUCAAAACUGUUGGUCUGGAGGUCGAGAGAGGUGAGUGGAAUUCCGAGUGUAGAGGUGAAAUGCGCAGAUAUCGGGAGGAACACCGGUGGCGAAGGCGGGUCUCUGGGC